GACGAACGCUGGCGGCGUGCUUAACACAUGCAAGUCGAGCGGUAAGGCUCCAGCUUGCUGGGGUACACGAGUGGCGAACGGGUGAGUAACACGUGGGUGACCUGCCCUGCACUUCGGGAUAAGCCAGGGAAACUGGGUCUAAUACCGGAUAGGACCGCACCGUGAGGGUGUGGUGGAAAGUUUUUUCGGUGUGGGAUGGGCCCGCGGCCUAUCAGCUUGUUGGUGGGGUAAUGGCCUACCAAGGCGGCGACGGGUAGCCGGCCUGAGAGGGUGGACGGCCACAUUGGGACUGAGACACGGCCCAGACUCCUACGGGAGGCAGCAGUGGGGAAUAUUGCACAAUGGGCGGAAGCCUGAUGCAGCGACGCCGCGUGGGGGAUGACGGCCUUCGGGUUGUAAACUCCUUUCACCAUCGACGAAGGGUUUCUGACGGUAGAUGGAGAAGAAGCACCGGCUAACUACGUGCCAGCAGCCGCGGUAAUACGUAGGGUGCGAGCGUUGUCCGGAAUUACUGGGCGUAAAGAGCUCGUAGGUGGUUUGUCGCGUCGUCUGUGAAAUUCCGGGGCUUAACUCCGGGCGUGCAGGCGAUACGGGCAUAACUUGAGUACUGUAGGGGAGACUGGAAUUCCUGGUGUAGCGGUGAAAUGCGCAGAUAUCAGGAGGAACACCGGUGGCGAAGGCGGGUCUCUGGGCAGUAACUGACGCUGAGGAGCGAAAGCAUGGGGAGCGAACAGGAUUAGAUACCCUGGUAGUCCAUGCCGUAAACGGUGGGCGCUAGGUGUGGGUUUCCUUCCACGGGAUCCGUGCCGUAGCUAACGCAUUAAGCGCCCCGCCUGGGGAGUACGGCCGCAAGGCUAAAACUCAAAGGAAUUGACGGGGGCCCGCACAAGCGGCGGAGCAUGUGGAUUAAUUCGAUGCAACGCGAAGAACCUUACCUGGGCUUGACAUAUACAGGAUCGCGCCAGAGAUGGUGUUUCCCUUGUGGCUUGUAUACAGGUGGUGCAUGGUUGUCGUCAGCUCGUGUCGUGAGAUGUUGGGUUAAGUCCCGCAACGAGCGCAACCCUUGUCUUAUGUUGCCAGCACGUUGUGGUGGGGACUCGUAAGAAACUGCCGGGGUUAACUCGGAGGAAGGUGGGGAUGACGUCAAAUCAUCAUGCCCCUUAUGUCCAGGGCUUCACACAUGCUACAAUGGUCGGUACAGUGGGUUGCCAGUCCGUGGGGGCGAGCUAAUCCCGCAAAGCCGGUCUCAGUUCGGAUCGGGGUCUGCAACUCGACCCCGUGAAGUCGGAGUCGCUAGUAAUCGCAGAUCAGCAACGCUGCGGUGAAUACGUUCCCGGGCCU
rnacentral:rRNA from 1 species